UGGGGAAUUUUGGACAAUGGGCGAAAGCCUGAUCCAGCAAUGCCGCGUGUGUGAAGAAGGCCUUCGGGUUGUAAAGCACUUUUGUCCGGAAAGAAAUCCUUGGCUCUAAUACAGUCGGGGGAUGACGGUACCGGAAGAAUAAGCACCGGCUAACUACGUGCCAGCAGCCGCGGUAAUACGUAGGGUGCAAGCGUUAAUCGGAAUUACUGGGCGUAAAGCGUGCGCAGGCGGUUUGCUAAGACCGAUGUGAAAUCCCCGGGCUCAACCUGGGAACUGCAUUGGUGACUGGCAGGCUAGAGUAUGGCAGAGGGGGGUAGAAUUCCACGUGUAGCAGUGAAAUGCGUAGAGAUGUGGAGGAAUACCGAUGGCGAAGGCAGCCCCCUGGGCCAAUACUGACGCUCAUGCACGAAAGCGUGGGGAGCAAACAGGAUUAGAUACCCUGGGUAGUCCACGCCCUAAACGAUGUCAACUAGUUGUUGGGGAUUCAUUUCCUUAGUAACGUAGCUAACGCGUGAAGUUGACCGCCUGGGGAGUACGGUCGCAAGAUUAAAACUUAAAUGAAUUGACGGGGUCAUAGCUGUUUCUU
rnacentral:rRNA from 1 species